AUCUGAGGGGUGUGUCUGCUGUAAAUAUGGACAUAAAGUAAAUUGUUUGCUUUAGGUGGCCAUGCCGUGAGUAUCAGCAUGGCCAUAAAGAACCUACAGACAUUG